rnacentral:lncRNA from 1 species
CAGAUAAUUUCUAGUAAAAAAAACCAAAGAAACACAUUUUGUUCGAAAAUCGACAGGGAAGGAUUAAAAAAGGUUAUAACCGAUUUGACUCUAAAAUGAACAGAAAACCUAUUUAUUUGCAUUUUUCAAUUCUCGAAGAAAUCCGUGUUCAAGAUGAACAUUUUUUCAAAAUAUGCUCCCAAUUCAAUUUUUUUAUUGGUUCAGGAUCAUUCAAAAAAUAGUAAAAAAGCUUAUUGACAAAUUUUUUUACAAUUUAUGGGAGUGCCACAAUAGAAAAGGAACAGAUUAGACCGUAUAAUAAUCUGUGUAUUAGGAUUGGAUAAAAGAAUUCUUACGUCGACUGUUCUAUUUUCCAUUUUCAUUUUGAAAGUCAAUUAGGUAAAUGGAAAGAUCAAUAGAAGCUAAAAUUAAGCUAGUAAAAUAAACCAUUGAAAUAAAAUAACCGUCACUUGCUUUAACAACCCCUGCAAUGAAAUUUAUCUACUAAACUUACCCUAUGUCGCCCAAACCCUAAAUUGAAAAAAACAAUUAGAACUAGGUAUAUGAAUUUUGCUGCCAAAAUAUUAAAUUAUAUAAUUUAUCAAACCGACCGUGAAAAAAUAAAUUUUAGUGCGCCCAUGACAUGCCAAGCUCAAACAGCAAUGCUCAAUGACAUCUGAAUUUGACAAGUCAGUUAAAUUCAGAUGUCAAUGUCAACCCAAUAAAACAAUAAUAUAAUUCACCUUGAGAAAUUAUUAUUAUUUUUUAACUAAUAUUUAUUGGAAAACUUCAACACAAAUUAUUUGCUAAAUAAAACUGAUGAAAAUCUCAUAACUUCAUUCAAGUUCGCAUCUAUUUUGCCUGUGUGGCCUUUGUUUUGUGUACCUAGAAUUAUUACAAGGAGAAGAAUUGCAUGUUUUAACUGCUGAUUAGACUACACAACCAGAAAUAAAUAAGCUAAAUGAAGUAUGUUAGGAUACCCCAGAGAUCAUGAAAUGUGUUUGAUAGGGCUCAGACCAUGCACUUAAGGACAUCCGUCAAGAAAUCAUUGAGAUUCUACCAUAUUGAUGAAAUUGGGAAACCAGGAAGUACUGCCUGUCUUUACUGUUGGUUAGAGUACACAGCCAGAAAUAAAUAAGCUACAGGAAGUAUGUUAGGAUUCCCCAGAGAUCAUGAAAUGUGUUUGAAGGAAUAUGAAUCAGCUUUUUUGUUAUCUUGAAUAGGCAAAAUGGCACGAGAAUCUUCCAACUGGACCCAAAGUCUCUAUUUUUGGUUAGAAAAUAAAACUUAUUUAAUGUUUAUGUUCCAUGACCUGCUUAUUGUUUUAUUAAAUUUUGUCAUACAGUUAUUUAGUUUUAAUAAUUAAAGAGAAAGUUGUUGUUG